UACGGAGGGGGCUAGCGUUGCUCGGAAUCACUGGGCGUAAAGGGUGCGUAGGCGGGUCUUUAAGUCAGGGGUGAAAUCCUGGAGCUCAACUCCAGAACUGCCUUUGAUACUGAGGAUCUUGAGUCCGGGAGAGGUGAGUGGAACUGCGAGUGUAGAGGUGAAAUUCGUAGAUAUUCGCAAGAACACCCGUGGCGAAGGCGGCUCUCUGGGACGGUACUGACGCUGAGACGCGAAAGCGUGGGGAGCGAACGGG
rnacentral:rRNA from 1 species